rnacentral:rRNA from 1 species
UACGAAGGGGGCUAGCGUUGCUCGGAAUCACUGGGCGUAAAGGGUGCGUAGGCGGGUCUUUUAAGUCAGGGGUGAAAUCCCGGGGCUCAACCUCGGAAUUGCCUUUGAUACUGUAAGUCUCGAGUCCGGAAGAGGUGGGUGGAAUUCCUAGUGUAGAGGUGAAAUUCGUAGAUAUUAGGAAGAACACCGGUGGACGAAGGCGGCCCACUGGUCCGGUGACUGACGCUGAGGUGCGGAAAGCGUGGGGAGCAAACAGG